rnacentral:rRNA from 1 species
UACGUAGGGUGCGAGCGUUAAUCGGAUUUACUGGGCGUAAAGCGAGUGCAGGUGGCCCGUUAAGACAGGUGUGAAAUCCCUGGGCUCAACCUAGGAAUUGCGCUUGUGACUGGCGGGCUAGAGUACGGUAGAGGGGGGUGGAAUUCCUGGUGUAGCAGUGAAAUGCGUAGAGAUCAGGAGGAACACCUAUGGCGAAGGCAGCCCCCUGGUCCUGUACUGACGCUCAUGCACGAAAGCGUGGGGAGCAAACAGG